CAAAACGUAGCUUAAUUCAAAGCAUCUUGCUUACACCAAGAGAAUAUCUGUUUAAUUCAGGUCGUUCUGA
rnacentral:tRNA from 1 species